rnacentral:lncRNA from 1 species
CUCACCUCUUCCUGACCAGGCAAAUUCUCCUUCUUUCUGAUCUUAUUCCGUAAUAAUGGAUAGACUAUUCAGCUACUGUUCCACUCAUGAUGAGUGAAACUAGUCAUUAAGCUGUUAGUAGCCACACUUGUAAUCUGCGUAUUCAAACUUCUUUUAAAUAACUGGGCUGCAUGCAGUUACAUUUUAAACCAUAUGUGGAAGGGUUACUCCAAACACCAUUACCUCUUCGGUGAUUUGAAGCGGUCAUGGUGGUGGGAGUCUGUUUGUGCAGUCUUUCUGCAAGUUAUUUAUGUGUGCUGGGUCUAGUUGCACUACCAGCACACAUGAUAUUGGCAGUCCAGAACUUUGUCUCGGACUGUCUAAUGCCAGUUUUGUCCAUAGUUUAUGUCUGUCGUUUGGCGCACUGCAGCCUACCAGCAGAUGUAGUAAUAUUAUGUCUCUUGCUCUCUCUUAAAGGGCAGCACUCUACUCUCUCCUCCAGCUCCGCUUCACUCCCACCUUAUCUGAUUGCUAUUUCCUGUCCUAAUGUGUUGUAUACCCCACCUCCUAUAGACUGUAAGCUCGUCUGAGCAGGGUCCUCUUCAACCUUUCGUUUCUGUAACUUUUCUUGUAAUUGUCCUAUUUAUAGUUAAAUCCCCCCUCUAAUAAUAUUGUAAAGCGCUACGGAAUCUGUUGGCGCUAUAUAAAUGGCGAUAAUAAUCUCUGCCUGCAAGGGGAAGAGAGCUAUCCACUGCCUCCCACUUUCCUUCCCCUUCUUCCUCCUCUUUCCAGCUCAGGUUAGAUUGCAUGAAUUUGCUAUGAGCUGGCAAUAAGUUUGUGUUUGUGUGUGCGCGCGCAGUUGGAGGGGAGGCAGACCUAAUUUGUAGGGCCAGAUAGGCCAUAUACACAGAAUAGGGUUAACCCUCCAAAGGGUUGGAGUAACCCUUUACACUGUAGUGGUUUUGGUAUGGAGUGCUCCUUUUAAGAUUGUUUCCCAUUUAGUAAAUGGUGAGUUCAUAUACAGUUAGUGUAUAGUGAAAAGUUUGAGCAUGCAACCAGAUUUGUUUUCUUAAAGUUGACUUUUUUUAGUUUAUUUUUUGUAGUUUUAUUUGUCAAAACUACAUGAAGUUGACAUGUUUGCAAAUAAACGAGAAAACUAGAUUUCUAAAUCAGCACUAAAAGAACGCACAACCAUGUUUUUGUCACUGCUGCAUCAUAACGACAGCACCCCAAUAGUCACGAUUUUGAGGUUCUAUCCUACCAUCCCGAUUUAGUUCCUUUGGAGUCCCGCAUCCUGAGACAUCAGGGAUCUGCACAGAGUGAGCGCAUCAUUAGAUAUGUGAGCGCUGUGAACAGACACACAGCACUCUCUGCAAACUGGGCCUGGCCAGACAGGCCUCUUCAGCGGUUGGAGCAGCCUAUUAUGGCCUUCACCAGUGCCAUGAGUCGUAUCACUCGCAAUACUCCUUCCCAGGCCUGCCCACCCUUCCCAAUCUGCAUGCAUUAGGUGUUAGAAGGGAAUGUGAAUUUAAUUUAUAUGUGCAUUGUGCACCAAUGUGGUUUAAAUAGGAUAUCUUACAAGUUGAAAUGCUUAGGAGUAUGUUGCUUACAUAAAAUGCAGAAACAGAUGAAGAUGCUAGUGAGUUAGUGAAGACUGAAUAAUAUAGAGUGUUGCUUUCUCUCCCUCUCUGUAUGUCAGUGUAUUAGAGUAUGAAGCCAUGACUGUGCUUAGAUAUGUGUUUGUAUGACACAGCUGAUGCAUGACUGUGUGUGACUGUGGGCCCCUUGGAAAGGCAGUGUAUUUCAUGAAACACUUGUUUGCAAACUUGUUGAGUGUCUAGGGCUCAUGUGUUUGAAGAAUUCCUCACCCCCUAUUUUCUUUUCCCCUCUUCCAGCUGGUUCCUUAUUGUUCUUUGAUAUGACCUAAUUACAUUCUAAAAUUAGUGACCUAACGUGUGAGAACACAUGUUGUACUUGGUUAUGUAUUUGUAUGAUAUCACUUUGCAAAUAAAGUAUUUUAAUGUAACAAAAUAAGUGUGUUAAUUUUCUUUAUCAG